CCUACGGGUGGCUGCAGUGAGGAAUAUUGGUCAAUGGGCGCAAGCCUGAUCCAGCCAAGUCGCGUGAGGGAUGACUGCCCUACGGGUUGUAAGCUUCUUUUGUAGAGGAGUAAAUUACGGCACGUGUGCCUUUUUGUAUGUACUUUAUGAAUAAGGAACGGCUAACUCCGUGCCAGCAGCCGCGGUAAUACGGAGGGUGCGGGCGUUACCCGGAUUUAAUGUGCUUAAAGGGAGCGUAGAUGGGUGGUUAAGUCAGUUGUGAAAGCUUGCGGCUCAACCGUAGAAUUGCACUUGAUACUGGCAGGCUUGAGUGCAGUUGAGGUAGGUGGAAUGCGUGGUGUAGCGGUGAAAUGCUUAGAUAUCACGAAGAACUCCGAUUGCGAAGGCAGCUUACUAAACUGCAACUGACGUUGAUGCUCGAAAGUGUGGGUAGCAAACAGGAUUAGAUACCCGAGUAGUC
rnacentral:rRNA from 1 species